AGGACACAACUGUUGGAAAUGACGACCUCGCCCUUAUGGCACGGCAGCACACUACACAAACACAGGCUGUGAGGAAGAAAGUAGGCGGAGGAUGGGAUCCCACAUAUACAAAGAGAAGUUUUUUCCCAUAUUGGAGAUCAGUGUUACAAGCUCGGUUUCCUUUGAAGGUGUAUCCAGCCUAUGCAAGCUCAGAUCGUAUGGCUGGGCUUCGUGGACAACUCCAUGUCUCUCUGAGUAACAAAAUGGCCCAUGGGCCUACUCCUACUCCAAAUCAUAAACUUGGUCCAAUGCGGAGAAUCUCGCCACUUACAAGCAAUAAUCAACCCAGAAGGUGUUUUGUCACUGCUGCUACUGGUGCAUUCAGGCUCUUGAAGGUGCUAAAGUAGGAGUAGAAAGGAGGCUCAACUUCUUCGCGAUAAUUGGCUAAUACUCUG